GUUUUACCUGAUAUAAUAAAUACCUAUAUAUACGAGUGGGAGCCAUUAAUAAGUAAACACGUGGAGGUCCAUGCCAAGUGGGAUUGUCUCAUUCAAGUAGGAUAUGUCUUAUUGAGGACUAAUGAUGAUUCUGACACUCUUGAAACAACGGUGAUGAAUAGUCUAUUAAUCAGGGAAUGUUAGGAACUUAGGGUAAGUGGGACAUGAAGUCGACCCGUUGAAACUUAGUAGAUAAUUUAAAAUAUGAGUCGGACGAGUGCUUGAGUCAUCUCAGGGUGUCUACGCCCUUUAUAUAGGAGUUAUUAGGUUGUGUAUUCUGAUUACUCGAAAUCACAUGCUAUACCUUUCUGAGUAUCUAAACGGUAUAGUGAGGUAUGACCUCUUUGAGGGCACAUGGCAUGGGUCUAAGUAGUCGGAUAAUGUAUACUGUAUUGCUACCUUUAUGUUAUUGUAUAAUAUGACUCCCUUUUGUUGAGGAUACGUUGUAUACAUCUAAGCAGUCGGAUAAU
rnacentral:misc_RNA from 1 species